rnacentral:rRNA from 1 species
AUACGUAGGGUGCGAGCGUUGUCCGGAAUUACUGGGCGUAAAGAGCUCGUAGGUGGUUUGUCGCGUCGUCUGUGAAAUUCCGGGGCUUAACUCCGGGCGUGCAGGCGAUACGGGCAUAACUUGAGUACUGUAGGGGAGACUGGAAUUCCUGGUGUAGCGGAGAAAUGCGCAGAUAUCAGGAGGAACACCGGUGGCGAAGGCGGGAUUCUGGGCAGAAACUGGCGCGGUGGGGCGAAAGAAUGGGUAGCGAACAGGACUAGAGACCCUGGUAGUCCAUGCCGUAAACGGUGGGCGCUAGGUGUGGGGGUCUUCCACGACUUCUGUGCCGUAGAUAACGCAUUAAGCGCCCCGCCUGGGGAGUACGGCCGCAAGGCUAAAACUCAAAGGAAUUGACGGGG